rnacentral:lncRNA from 11 species
AAGAAGAUGGUUGGUGUUUCUGCUGCUUCUGCUGGCACUCUGAGUCUUCACGUCAUUCCAAGAAAGCCACCUUUGCACCCUUUGGACCUGGAGAGGAGACUACAAGAGGAAAAAGGAUUCAAUGAGAUCACAGAUGGCUUUUAUUCCAGAGGACCUAUCCAAGGUGCUGAACCAAAUCACCAAAGAGAUUCAGCACCUUGGAUGGCAUUUUCAACAUUUGAAUUGGGGCUUUAACACAUGAUAUGGA